rnacentral:rRNA from 1 species
AUUGAACGCUGGCGGCAUGCCUUACACAUGCAAGUCGAACGGCAGCACGGGAGCAAUCCUGGUGGCGAGUGGCGAACGGGUGAGUAAUAUAUCGGAACGUGCCCGGUCGUGGGGAUAACGUAGCGAAAGCUACGCUAAUACCGCAUACGAUCUACGGAUGAAAGCGGGGGAUCGCAAGACCUCGCGCGAUUGGAGCGGCCGAUAUCAGAUUAGGUAGUUGGUGAGGUAAAGGCUCACCAAGCCGACGAUCUGUAGCUGGUCUGAGAGGACGACCAGCCACACUGGAACUGAGACACGGUCCAGACUCCUACGGGAGGCAGCAGUGGGGAAUUUGGACAAUGGACGCAAGUCUGAUCCAGCCAUUCCGCGUGCAGGAUGAAGG